rnacentral:rRNA from 1 species
AGUGGGGAAUAUUGGACAAUGGGCGCAAGCCUGAUCCAGCCAUGCCGCGUGAGUGAUGAAGGCCUUAGGGUUGUAAAGCUCUUUUGCCAGGGAAGAUAAUGACUGUACCUGGAGAAUAAGCCCCGGCUAACUUCGUGCCAGCAGCCGCGGUAAUACGAAGGGGGCUAGCGUUGUUCGGAAUCACUGGGCGUAAAGCGCACGUAGGCGGACUCUUAAGUCAGGGGUGAAAGCCUGAGGCUCAACCUCAGAACUGCCCUUGAUACUGGGAGUCUUGAGUAUGGUAGAGGUUGGUGGAACAGCAAGUGUAGAGGUGAAAUUCGUAGAUAUUUGCUAGAACACCAGUGGCGAAGGCGGCCAACUGGACCAUAACUGACGCUGAGGUGCGAAAGCGUGGGGAGCAAA